rnacentral:lncRNA from 1 species
UUCGUUAGUAGGUGAGUCAGGCUCGGACCCGCAGAUGUCGAAGUAGAGCCAAGUCCCUGCCUGAGAUUCCAAAGGUGGUGGUGUCUUCUCUUCAGUCACUUCACUCUCUUCUUCGUUUUCUAAAUAUAACCAUAUAGGUAUAUAUAUAAGAAUGAAUGCCAUGUAAUGCUUAUGAGAGUGCAUAGAUAAUAAAGGUUUAUUAACUAAGUUUUGAAUACAACUUUCCUUCACGGAACUCCGAGAACUUAGGGUUUCCGGAGUCAGUAAAGGAGUUCAAAGGGCAGGGGUAGGGUUUGGGUUAUAAGUAUCAAACAAUGUCCAAAUCAUAUCAAACUCUACCCAAGGUCUCAUAAUAUUGUUGAGAGAUUACCCUAAAAAUUUAGUGAAUUUUGGAUUUAUUAUAUAAUCUCUAAAAAUUCAGAAACAUGGUUUUUGGAUGAUUUAAAUACUCUAUAAUUUCCUAUUUGGACUAAAAAUCAUGAAACUAUUUUUAUUAAAUUCUAUAGGAAAUUAGAAGCCCAUUAAAAUUGGUUUGGUAUUUUUAUCAUUUUUCUUGAAUUCUUUAUGGAUUUCUCAACUUUCUUAGAAAAAGAAAAAGAAAAACGUUCAAUAGUAUUGGGCCAAAUUGUGCCCAACCGGCCCAGUUUAAGCAGAUUACAGGGGCGCGCCCGCGGCAGCGCAGCCUGUUUUGCAUAAAAGUCCUUGCCAGAGUUAAUAUUAGGAACGAAGUCCUCAACUGAACUCUGCGAGUCACUGACAUUUUACUUCUGGCCCCUUCUAGGUUUCUCGUCUUUACAACGUGAGUCCCUAACGUCGCCGGCGGCGCGGACGCAUUCCCACCGCGACACAACGGCGGAGGAGAGCCCGGGCAGCCGUUGGAUAGCGACCAGACCAAAUCCUAACCUACCCCGAGCAUCUAUAGGCAUGGAUUUGACUCACUAACUUACAGAGUGCCAUGACCACGUUCAAGGCGGGAGCCCAGUACCGCGACGUUCACCCAAAUGGCUCCGGCACAGGAUGUUUCAAAUUGAGGGCACAUGGAGCACGAGUAGGGUGCGGGAAACACGACGCUCACAAGAAUUGCCCCUGGGCCAACUGAACUUUGAGUGGGUCAUCACCUGGACAGUUCACGCGGUGUCAAGCCCGUGUUCCGACCAAACCAAGACCGUAAGGACCAAACGGACUUCUCGGUGAGCUUCACCAAGGUACGGGGAUGCUAGAACAUCAGCUUGUGGGGGUUAAGACAUACCACAGUCGUCUGGCCACGUGAAGCCGAGGUGUUGCCGGGGUGGUCAUCAAAUAAGUUUGGUGCCUUGAUCGAUGGAACUUGGGUGUGUCUAGGGUAUGAUUUGGGGGUGUAGUACUACUAAUCAUGGCUGCUCAACAUGGUUGAUGGUGAACUAAGGAUCACUGGUUGGGUUUCUAC